GGCUGCCAUCUUCAGAGGACAGGAGUUAGAACUCAGAACACAGACAGAGUUCUGUGUUCUGAGUUCUUAUAGGAAUUGGAGAAAGAGCAUUCUAACAGGGCGGAAAUAGUCUCCAUAGAAAUAAGUAUGGUGUACCAUCUUUCCCCGGUUCUGUGUAUACUGGUAGUACCCACCCAAGGUCAUCUCCAGUUCUUCUCUCUGUUGAGAUCUAAGCACCUCUUCUGCAAAUUCAGCUGCCCACAGAUGGAAUCACUGGGAACGUUUGCCCACCUGGGACUUACUGCCCACCUGGAUCCUCUGUUCCCAUCCUCUGCCCUCCAGGAACCUACAGCAAUACCAGUGGAUUGAAACACUUGAAACAAUGUUUGGACUGUCCACCUGGGUGAGUUUUUUUUUCUUCCUUCCCUAUUCUUCCAAAGAAUAUAGGCUGAGUUGUUUGGUUCAAAGUGGCACGAAAAGUCCAGGGUCCUUCCCUGCUGUGUUGAAUCCCAAGAGGUACAUGUAUGAAUGAAUCAAAGUCAUGCAUUACACAAAAUACCAACAAGUUCCAAGAGGUGACAUGCCUACCUCAAACUAAUGUCAUAUACUGUUACCAUUGAAGUUUGGGGUCAUUCCAGGAUUCCAAAGUUCUCUGGCUCCCCAUCAUGACCUUGCAUGAGUCCCCAGAUUUCCAUCAGACUGAAACGGAUGCUGGGGUUGCAAUUUUUACUCCCAUUUCUACAGCAGGGGAUAAGUCUCCAGAACAGGAAGUACAAAGAGGGGAAAAACCCACCCCCUACAACAACAUCUUCUUGGGUAGGGGGUACUGUGAGACAAGGAUGACCACCUUGAAGACCUUCUUCCUGACCUUCACCCAGUUCAUGUCAGAUCCAGGAACACCCAAAGAAGGACUUCUGCAGGUCACAGGGUGCAGUGAAUUCAUGUGUUUCCCCGUGGAGAUAUUCUCCCCUCUUUCUAACACUAGGUUUUACUGUGAUGGAGUGAAUCCACAAGCACCCACUGGGCUUUGCAAACCUGGCUACUUCUGUACAGGCGGUGCCAAAACAGCCACCCAAAUAAUGGCAAAAGAAGGGCAUUAUGCUCCAGAAGGGGCCACCCAGGCAGAACCGUGCCCUCCUGGAAAGUUCCAGCCGAAAAGCAAUUGUUUCCCAGUCCAGGAGUGUUGUUCUAGGAGGUGUCGGUCAGCUUGGUUCACUUCAAAGAGGGAAC
rnacentral:lncRNA from 1 species